rnacentral:rRNA from 1 species
GCUUUUGAUGGGCGUCGACCGGCGCACGGGUGAGUAACGCGUAUCCAACCUGCCCACCACUUGGGGAUAACCUUGCGAAAGUAAGACUAAUACCCAAUGACGUCUCUAGAAGACAUCUGAAAGAGAUUAAAGAUUUAUCGGUGAUGGAUGGGGAUGCGUCUGAUUAGCUUGUUGGCGGGGUAACGGCCCACCAAGGCAACGAUCAGUAGGGGUUCUGAGAGGAAGGUCCCCCACAUUGGAACUGAGACACGGUCCAAACUCCUACGGGAGGCAGCAGUGAGGAAUAUUGGUCAAUGGACGAGAGUCUGAACCAGCCAAGUAGCGUGCAGGAUGACGGCCCUAUGGGUUGUAAACUGCUUUUAUAAGGGAAUAAAGUGAGUCUCGUGAGACUUUUUGCAUGUACCUUAUGAAUAAGGACCGGCUAAUUCCGUGCCAGCAGCCGCGGUAAUACGGAAGGUCCGGGCGUUAUCCGGAUUUAUUGGGUUUAAAGGGAGCGUAGGCCGGAGAUUAAGCGUGUUGUGAAAUGUAGACGCUCAACGUCUGCACUGCAGCGCGAACUGGUUUCCUUGAGUACGCACAAAGUGGGCGGAAUUCGUGGUGUAGCGGUGAAAUGCUUAGAUAUCACGAAGAACUCCGAUUGCGAAAGCAGCUCACUGGAGCGCAACUGACGCUGAAGCUCGAAAGUGCGGGUAUCGAACAGGAUUAGAUACCCUGGUAGUCCGCACGGUAAAC